rnacentral:rRNA from 1 species
UACGUAGGGUGCAAGCGUUAAUCGGAAUUACUGGGCGUAAAGCGUGCGCAGGCGGUUUUGUAAGUCUGACGUGAAAUCCCCGGGCUUAACCUGGGAACUGCAUUUGUGACUGCAUCGCUGGAGUGCGGCAGAGGGGGAUGGAAUUCCGCGUGUAGCAGUGAAAUGCGUAGAUAUGCGGAGGAACACCGAUGGCGAAGGCAAUCCCCUGGGCCUGCACUGACGCUCAUGCACGAAAGCGUGGGGAGCGAACAGG